rnacentral:rRNA from 1 species
AGAGUUUGAUCCUGGCUCAGAUUGAACGCUGGCGGCAUGCCUUACACAUGCAAGUCGAACGGUAGAGGGGCAACCCUUGAGAGUGGCGAACGGGUGAGUAAUAUAUCGGAACGUGCCCAGUCGUGGGGGAUAACGCAGCGAAAGCUGCGCUAAUACCGCAUACGAUCUAUGGAUGAAAGCGGGGGAUCGCAAGACCUCGCGCGAUUGGAGCGGCCGAUAUCAGAUUAGGUAGUUGGUGGGGUAAAAGCCCACCAAGCCGACGAUCUGUAGCUGGUCUGAGAGGACGACCAGCCACACUGGGACUGAGACACGGCCCAGACUCCUACGGGAGGCAGCAGUGGGGAACUUUGGACAAUGGGCGCAAGCCUGAUCCAGCAAUGCCGCGUGCAGGACGAAGGCCUUCGGGUUGUAAACUGCUUUUGUACGGAGCGAAACGGUCUGGGUUAAUACCCUGGGCUAAUGACGGUACCGUAAGAAUAAGCACCGGCUAACUACGUGCCAGCAGCCGCGGUAAUAC